CGGGAAGUAGCUCAGCUUGGUAGAGCACUUGGUUUGGGACCAAGGGGUCGCAGGUUCGAAUACUGUCUUCCCGA
rnacentral:tRNA from 1 species